CCUACGGGAGGCAGCAGUGAGGAAUAUUGGUCAAUGGGCGCGAGCCUGAACCAGCCAAGUAGCGUGAAGUGUGACUGCCCUACGGUUUGUAGACAGGAGUUAUAAAGGAAUAAAGUGAGGCACGUGUGCCUUUUUGUAUGUACUUUAUGAAUAAGGAUCGGCUAACUCCGUGCCAGCAGCCGCGGUAAUACGGAGGAUCCGAGCGUUAUCCGGAUUUAUUGGGUUUAAAGGGAGCGUAGAUGGGUUGUUAAGUCAGUUGUGAAAGUUUGCGGCUCAACCGUAAAAUUGCAAUUGAUACUGGCAGUCUUGAGUACAGUUGAGGUAGGCGGAAUUCGUGGUGUAGCGGUGAAAUGCUUAGAGAUCACGAAGAACUCCGAUUGCGAAGGCAGCUUACUAAACUGCCACUGACAUUGAUGCUCGAAAGUGUGGGUAUCAAACAGGAUUAGAUACCCCGGUAGUC
rnacentral:rRNA from 1 species